rnacentral:rRNA from 1 species
GGCCAAUCAAACCGGGAGAUAGCUGGUUCUCCCCGAAAGCUAUUUAGGUAGCGCCUCGUGAAUUCAUCUCCGGGGGUAGAGCACUGUUUCGGCUAGGGGGCCAUCCCGGCUUACCAACCCGAUGCAAACUGCGAAUACCGGAGAAUGUUAUCACGGGAGACACACGGCGGGUGCUAACGUCCGUCGUGAAGAGGGAAACAACCCAGACCGCCAGCUAAGGUCCCAAAGUCAUGGUUAAGUGGGAAACGAUGUGGGAAGGCCCAGACAGCCAGGAUGUUGGCUUAGAAGCAGCCAUCAUUUAAAGAAAGCGUAAUAGCUCACUGGUCGAGUCGGCCUGCGCGGAAGAUGUAACGGGGCUAAACCAUGCACCGAAGCUGCGGCAGCGAACGUAUCACCCAAGACAACUUUACGGAGUUGACGAUUGACGGAGCGAAGCGACGUCAAAGCGUUCAUUAAAGUCGAGUUGGCUUAGGGAUACGUUCGUUGGGUAGGGGAGCGUUCUGUAAGCCUGUGAAGGUGUGUCGUGAGGC